rnacentral:misc_RNA from 1 species
GCAAACUUGGUCAUUUAGAGGAAGUAAAAGUCGUAACAAGGUUUCCGUAGGUGAACCUGCGGAAGGAUCAUUAACGAGUACAGUGACCCUAUAUGGGUCCAUACUCCAGCCCCCUGCAUAUGUGGCGGCAUUACCUUGGUGGCAUUUCGCCAGAAAGCAAAACAAAUUUCCAUGUUUGCAGUUGUCUGAGUGGGUUUUCGAAUUCCGUCAAAACUUUCAACAAUGGAUCUCUUGGUUCUGGCAUCGAUGAAGAACGCAGC